AGCUUGAUCAUGGCUCAGAUUGAACGCUGGCGGGAUGCUUUACACAUGCAAGUCGAACGGCAGCACGGACUUCGGUCUGGUGGCGAGUGGCGAACGGGUGAGUAAUGUAUCGGAACGUGCCUAGUAGCGGGGGAUAACUACGCGAAAGCGUAGCUAAUACCGCAUACGCCCUUCGGGAAAGCGGGGACCUUCAAUUUCGCACUAUUAGAGCGGCCGAUAUCGGAUUAGCUAGUUGGUGGGGUAACGGCUCACCAAGGCGACGAUCCGUAGCUGGUUUGAGAGGACGACCAGCCACACUGGGACUGAGACACGGCCCAGACUCCUACGGAGGCGCAGUGGGGAAUUUUCAGUUGGGGAAACCCUGAUCCAGCCAUCCCGCGUGCGCGAUGAAGGCCUUCGGGUUGUGUGCUCCCGCAGGAAAGAAACGGCACGGGAUAAUACCCCCGUGCAACUGGACGGUAAUACCUGCAGAAUAAGCACCGCACCACGUGCCAGCAGCCGCAAUACGUAGGGUGCCGUUAAUCGGAAUUAGCUGGGCGUACAUGUAAAGCGUAUGGUCGAAAGAAAGAUGUGAACCAGAGCUUAACUUUGGAACUGCAUUUUUAAUCACUGAGCUAGAGUGUGUCAGAGGGAGGUGGAAUUCCGCGUAGCAGUGAAAUGCGUAGGGAUAUGCGGAGGAACACCGAUGGCGAUGCAGCCUCCGGAUAACACUGACGCUCAUGCACGAAAGCGUGGGGAGCAAACAGGAUUAGAUACCCGGUAGUCCACGCCCUAAACGAUGUCAACUAGCCGUUGGGGCCUUCGGGCCUUGGUAGCGCAGCUAACGCGUGAAGUUGACCGCCUGGGGAGUACGGUCGCAAGAUUAAAACCCGCUGGAAUUGAUUUGGGACCCGCACAAGCGGUGGAUGAUGGGAUUAAUUCGAUGCAACGCGAAAACUUUACCUACCCUUGACAUGUCUGGAAUCCCGAAGAGAUUUGGGAGUGCUCGCAAGAGAACCGAACACAGGUGCUGCAUGGCUGUCGUCAGCUCGUGUCGUGAGAUGUUGGGUUAAGUCCCGCAACGAGCGCAACCCUUGUCAUUAUUGCUACGAAAGGGCACUCUAAUGAGACUGCCGGUGACAAACCGGAGGAAGGGGGAUGAUGUCAAGUCCUCAUGGCCCUUAUGGGUAGGGCUUCACACGUCAUACAAUGGUCGGGACAGAGGGUCGCCAACCCGCGAGGGGGAGCCAAUCCCAGAAACCCGAUCGUAGUCCGGAGGCAGUCUGCAACUCGACUGCGUGAAGUCGGAAUCGGGUAAUCGCGGAUCAGCAGUUUUGGCGGUGAAUACGUUCCCGGGGUCUUGUACACACCGCCCGUCACACCAUGGGGAGUGGGUUUUACCAGAAGUAGUUGGCCUAACCGUAUGAGGGCGAUUACCAUUUUUUUGCAGAUCUUAUGACUGGGGUGAAGUCGUAACAAGGUAG
rnacentral:rRNA from 1 species